rnacentral:rRNA from 1 species
UUAACACACGCAAGUCGAUCGGUAACAGGUGUAGCAAUACAUGCUGACGAGAGGCGGACGGGUGAGGAAUAUUUGGGAAUCUGCCCAUCAGCGGGGGACAACCCGGGGAAACUCGGGCUAAUACCGCAUACGCUCUACGGAGGAAAGCCGGGGACCGCAAGGCCUGGCACUGAUGGAUGAGCCCAAAUCGGAUUAGCUAGUUGGCGGGGUAACGGCCCACCAAGGCGACGAUCCGUAGCUGGUCUGAGAGGACGAUCAGCCACACCGGAACUGAGACACGGUCCGGACUCCUAUGGGAGGCAGCAGUGGGGAAUAUUGGACAAUGGGGGAAACCCUGAUCCAGCGACGCCGCGUGGGUGAAGAAGGCCUGCGGGUUGUAAAGCCCUUUCGGUAGGGACGAAAACUCUUGAUCCAACAAAUCAGGAGCUUGACUUAACCUACAUAAGAAGCACCGGCUAACUCUGUGCCAGCAGCCGCGGUAAUACAGAGGGUGCGAGCGUUAAUCGGAAUUACUGGGCGUAAAGCGCACGUAGGCGGCUUUGUAAGUCGGAUGUGAAAUCCCCGGGCUCAACCUGGGAACUGCACCCGAAACUACAUUGCUAGAGUAUGGGAGAGGGAGGCGGAAUUUCCGGUGUAGCAGUGAAAUGCGUAGAUAUCGGAAGGAACAUCAGUGGCGAAGGCGGCCUCCUGGACCAAUACUGACGCUCAGGUGCGAAAGCGUGGGGAGCAAACAGGAUUAGAUACCCUGGUAGUCCACGCCCUAAACGAUGAGAACUGGAUGUCGGGAGGGUUUGCCUUCCGGUGUCGUAGCUAACGCGAUAAGUUCUCCGCCUGGG